rnacentral:rRNA from 1 species
AUGUUGAAGAAAAAGCUCGGGCUAAAGAUACCACUGAAAAAGGAGGUGAGGUUCAGCCUACUGCUAACAUGGUGCAGAGGUACCCACAGAACAAGAACAAAGGGAAGAACAAACCUGUUUUCAACAAUAUUUCAAUCAUCUUCGUGGUGGAUUGAUUCGGGUGCUAACGUUCAUGUGUGUGCUGACAUCUCCCUGUUUACUUCUUAUCAGGUCGCAAGGGAUUCUUCCGUCCUAAUAGGGAAUGGGUCACAUGCUUCUGUUCGUGGCAUUGGCACGGUGGAUCUAAAGUUUACUUCGGGAAAGAUCGUGCAACUAAGGAACGUGCAGCAUGUCCCUACUAUGAACAAGAAUCUAGUUAGCGGCUCCCUUCUAUGUCGAGAUGGAUUUAAGGUAGUUUUAGAGUCCAAUAAAGUAAUCGUGUCAAGAUUUGGACAAUUUAUAGGAAAAGGCUAUGAGUGCGGAGGCUUGUUCCGCUUUUCUCUUUCAGAUUUUUGCAAUAAGUCAAUAAACCAAAUUUGUGCUAAUGUUAAUGAUGAUGCAAGUAUUUGGCACUCUCGUUUAUGUCAUAUUAAUUUUGGUUUAAUGUCUCGGCUAUCCAGCAUGAGUUUAAUUCCGAACUUCACAGUUGCCAAAGGUUCUAAGUGCCAUAGUUGUGUGCAAUCUAAGCAACCUCGAAAGCCUCAUAAGGCUGCUGAGGAGAGAAACUUGGCACCUCUAGAACUCAUACAUUCUGAUCUUUGUGAGAUGAAUGGUGUGUUGACAAAAGGUGGAAAGAGAUAUUUCAUGACUUUGAUUGAUGAUGCGACUAGAUUUUGCUAUGUUUAUUUGUUGCAAACUAAAGAUGAAGCAUUAGACUACUUUAAAAUCUAUAAAGCUGAAGUUGAAAAUCAACUAGAGAGAAAGAUCAAGCGUCUUAGGUCCGAUCGUGGUGGAGAGUAUUUUCCAAAAGUUUUUGAUGAAUUUUGUGAGGAACAUGGUAUUAUUCAUGAGAGGACGCCUCCCUAUUCACCUCAAUCAAAUGGAGUGGCCGAGAGGAAAAACCGCACAUUGACUGACUUGGUGAAUGCCAUGUUAGACACUGCUGGUUUAUCUAAGGCAUGGUGGGGGGAGGCUCUAUUGACUUUAUGUCAUGUCCUGAAUAGAGUUCCCAACAAUAAUAAAGAGAAAACCCCUUAUGAGGAGUGGGUUGGGAGAAAACCAUCACUUUCUUAUUUGCACACUUGGGGAUGUUUGGCAAAGGUCAAUAUUCCUAUUCCUAAGAAACGGAAACUUGGACCAAAGACAGUGGAUUGUGUCUUUCUAGGGUAUGCUCAACGGAGCAUUGCUUAUAGGUUUUUAGUGGUAAAAUCUGAAGUACCUGAUAUGCAUGUUGAUACUAUAAUGGAAUCUCGUGAUGCAACAUUUUUUGAGAACAUAUUUCCUAUGAAAGAUAUGCAUAGCAUUGCUAGAUUUUCUUCUGAGAUAAUUCCUGAAUCUAGUACAACUGAUGAAUAUUUCGAACAAUCACAUGAGGAAGUCCUUGAGAAGGAUAACAAUGAAGUUCCUAGAAGGAACAAGAGACAAAGGAUUGCAAAAUCCUUUGGUGAUGAUUUCAUUGUAUACCUUGUGAACGACACACCCAAGACGAUUGCAGAAGCAUAUGCAUCUCCGGAUGUAGAUGAUUGGAAAGAAGCUGUUCAUAAUGAGAUGGCCUCAAUUCUUUCUAAUGGAACUUGGGAACUAACUGAUAGACCAUAUGGUUGUAAACCUGUGGGCUGUAAGUGGGUGUUCAAAAAGAAGCUAAAGCCUGAUGGUACUAUUGAUAAGUACAAGGCGCGGCUAGUGGCCAAGGGCUACACUCAGAAAGAAGGCGAAGAUUACUUUGACACCUAUUCACCCGUUGCUAGAAUGACCACCAUUCGAGUGUUACUUUCCUUGGCUGCCUCUUAUGGUCUUAUCAUUCAUCAAAUGGAUGUAAAGACAGCUUUUCUCAAUGGAGAGUUGGAAGAGGAGAUCUAUAUGGAUCAGCCUGACGGGUUUGUGGUAAAGGGUGAAGAGAGAAAGGUGUGCAAGUUGUUAAAAUCUUUGUAUGGUCUGAAACAGGUACCUAAGCAAUGGCAUGAGAAGUUUGAAAGAACUCUGACUUCUGCAGGAUUUGUCAUUAACGAGGCUGAUAGGUGUGUUUACUAUCGCCAUGGUGGGGGCAAUAGUGUCAUAUUAUGUUUGUAUGUGGACGACAUACUGAUCUUUGGUACAAACAUUAAUGCAAUUAAUGAGGUCAAGUCUUUUCUAUCAAAAAGUUUUGACAUGAAAGAUCUGGGAGAAGCCGAUGUAAUUCUAAACAUCAAACUUAUUAAGGAUGAGAGUGGGAUUACAUUAACGCAAUCUCACUAUGUUGAGAAGGUCUUGAACCGAUUCGGUUUUAUGGAUAGCAAGCCUUCUCCAACACCUUAUGAUCCCAGCGUGACACUCAGAAAGAACAAGAAAGAAACGAGAGAUCAAUGA